UACGUAGGGUGCGAGCGUUAAUCGGAAUUACUGGGCGUAAAGCGUGCGCAGGCGGUUUUGUAAGCCAGAUGUGAAAUCCCCGGGCUUAACCUGGGAAUGGCAUUUGGGACUGCAAGGCUUGAGUGCGGCAGAGGAGACUGGAAUCCUGGUGUAGCAGUGAAAUGCGUAGAUAUCAGGAGGAACACCGAUGGCGAAGGCAGGUCUCUGGGCUGACACUGACGCUCAUGCACGAAAGCGUGGGGAGCAAACGAGGA
rnacentral:rRNA from 1 species